UUUCCGUAGGUGAACCUGCGUAAGGAUCAUUAAAGAGUAAUGGUCUUCGGGCCCGUUCUCCAACCCUUUGUUUAACUACCAUGUUGCUUUGGCGGGCCCGUCUCACGACCGCCGGAAGUUUGGCUUCGACCAAACUUCUGGCCCGUGCCCGUCAGUGGCCCCUUCAAAUUCUUGAUAAAGUAUGAUGUCUUAGUUAAAAACUUAAUAGUUAAAACUUUCAACAACGGAUCUCUUGGUUCUGGAAUCGAUGAAGAACGCAGC
rnacentral:misc_RNA from 1 species